rnacentral:rRNA from 1 species
UACGGAGGAUCCGAGAGCGUUGUCCGGAUUUAUUGGUUUGAAAGGGUGCGUAGCGGUUUUAUAAGUCAGUGGUUAAAGACUCUCGCUCAACGAGAGGGAUGCCAUUGAUACUGUAGAACUUGAGUACUGUAGAGGUAGGCGGAAUUGGUAGUGUAGCGGUGAAAUGCAUAGAUACUACCAGGAAACACCGAUUGCGAAGGCGAGCUUACUGGAG